UUCCUCACAUUGCACCUAGUACGUAAUAAGUGGUUUUCCCAGGGUGAGGCUCAGCCAUUGCACUGCGGCUGUGUUGACCCCUGCGAUUUCCCCAAAUGCGGGAAACUCGACUGCAUAAUUUGUGGUAGUGGGGGACUGCGUUCUUGCUCCCCUUUU